UCCUGAACCUUUUCCCUCUUCCUCGUCCGACAUCCCCGGCCCUCCUGCUCUCCUGCUCGUUCAAACCUCUCCUGUCCAUUACGGCUCUUCAUAAACCUGCAGACGCUCCCGUCCCACAGCGUUUAAUCCCUCCCUGGAUAGAGCCAGGAUCUAAAAUAAGCGGCCACCUGUGGUCGGCGUUGUGUGCGUUUUCACUCGUCUCGGUGAGCGGGCGGCGGGCCAUUCCUGGCCCCUCCCUGCUGCAGGUCCUCCAGCCUCCAGAUGUUCCUGCAAACUGAGCUUUCCCACAUGCCGCCUCCAAACCAAAACCAGUGGAUUUCCCAGAAUACAUCGUGAGGCUGCAGGAAAAAAAAAAAAAAGAGAGAGAGAAGAGUGAAGCAACCAAUCCUAAAACUAUUGAAAGGAAGCACAGCGGCUGGUUCCUGGACAGCAUCACCUGGUGUAUCUCCGCUCUCGGCCUCCGGCUUGACGUCAGCGCUGGUGGUGAACCCGACCACAGCGGCACCAGAACCCUUUGAUGGCGUCCUCCUCUCUAUUAGAGCUCUGCUGUGGAGCGACCAUCACACACGCCGACUCACGGCCUGUAAUUUGUCUCUGCUUUAUUGGCUGUUCUCUCUGACAGACAAACUCAUGGAUAAACUGAGCUGUCAGACGAGUGAAACCAUGGAAAACGCAAAAUAUCUCCAAGUUAUUGGGACGUGUGCUGAUGGUUAACCUAUUAAAUUAUGUUAGUGUUCAUAAACCUGUCUGAAGCUCUAUCAUCAAACUGAAGCAUGAACUCUACC